rnacentral:rRNA from 1 species
GACGAACGCUGGCGGCGUGCCUAAUACAUGCAAGUAGGACGCAGUUGCGAACGGGUGAGUAACGCGUAGGUAACUGCCUAUUAGAGGGGGAUAACUAUUGGAAACGAUAGCUAAUACCGCAUACUAGUAGAUGGACCUGCGUUGUAUUAGCUAGUAGGUAGGGUACUGGCCUACCUAGGCGACGAUACAUAUCCGACCUGAGAGGGUGAUCGGCCACACUGGGACUGUGACACGGCCCCGACUCCUACGGGGGGGCGCCGUAGGGAAUCUUCGGCAAUGGGGGGGACCCUGACCGGGCGACGCCGCGUGAGUGAGGAAGAUUUUCGGAUCGUAAAACUCUGUUGUUAAGGAAGCGGUACUUAACCAGAAAAGGACGGCUAAAUACGUGCCAGCAGCCGCGGUAAUAC